rnacentral:rRNA from 1 species
UGAGUAAUGUAUCGGAACGUGCCUAGUAGCGGGGGAUAACUACGCGAAAGCGUAGCUAAUACCGCAUACGCCCUACGGGGGAAAGCAGGGGAUCGCAAGACCUUGCACUAUUAGAGCGGCCGAUAUCGGAUUAGCUAGUUGGUGGGGUAACGGCUCACCAAGGCGACGAUCCGUAGCUGGUUUGAGAGGACGACCAGCCACACUGGGACUGAGACACGGCCCAGACUCCUACGGGAGGCAGCAGUGGGGAAUUUUGGACAAUGGGGGAAACCCUGAUCCAGCCAUCCCGCGUGUGCGAUGAAGGCCUUCGGGUUGUAAAGCACUUUUGGCAGGAAAGAAACGUCAUGGGCUAAUACCCCGUGAAACUGACGGUACCUGCAGAAUAAGCACCGGCUAACUACGUGCCAGCAGCCGC